GAUGAACGCUGGCGGCGUGCCUAAUACAUGCAAGUCGAGCGAACAGACGAGGAGCUUGCUCCUCUGACGUUAGCGGCGGACGGGUGAGUAACACGUGGAUAACCUACCUAUAAGACUGGGAUAACUUCGGGAAACCGGAGCUAAUACCGGAUAAUAUAUUGAACCGCAUGGUUCAAUAGUGAAAGACGGUUUUGCUGUCACUUAUAGAUGGAUCCGCGCCGCAUUAGCUAGUUGGUAAGGUAACGGCUUACCAAGGCAAUGAUGCGUAGCCGACCUGAGAGGGUGAUCGGCCACACUGGAACUGAGACACGGUCCAGACUCCUACGGGAGGCAGCAGUAGGGAAUCUUCCGCAAUGGGCGAAAGCCCGACGGAGCAACGCCGCGUGAGUGAUGAAGGUCUUCGGAUCGUAAAACUCUGUUAUUAGGGAAGAACAAAUGUGUAAGUAACUAUGCACGUCUUGACGGUACCUAAUCAGAAAGCCACGGCUAACUACGUG
rnacentral:rRNA from 1 species